GGAAUACGAACACAGGCGGGCAUGGCAGGUUGUUAGCUCGUGUCGUGAGAUGUUGGGUUAAGUCCCGCCACGAGCGCAACCCCUCUUUUUCUGUUGCCCGCCCGUUUUGGUGGGGCCUUUUAGGGGACUGCCGGGGGCAAACCCGGGGAAAGUUGGGGAGAAGUCAAGUCUUCUUGGGCCUUACGGCCAGGGGUUCACACAUGUUACAAAGGGCGGUUCAAAGGGGUGCCAAACCGGGAGGGGGAGCCAAAUCCCAAAAACCCGUUUCCGUUUGGGAUGGAGUUUGCAAAUUGGCUGCC
rnacentral:rRNA from 1 species